UCUUGUAGGGCACUAAGGCUUCUAGUCUUUGCGCGAGACUUUCAAAUUACUUUGAACCUUUCGCACUUGAAUUUCAUUCCCGUUAAAGGGAGGUUUUUUACUUCAAAAGUGGGACAAAUGCUUUUAAAUUUUGGAUAGCUAUAUGGCUGCUAUUGUACUAUCAAUUAUUUAUCGAUGCUGUGAAAAAAUACAGCUGGGGAUCAAGAAGUGGCAUUUUAUAUCGUGUAGAAAGACGACGAUUGAUGAAAUGUCAAGGGACACAAAAAUGAAAAAAUAUUACAUGGCACUACUUCAAAACCCAUCGAAACUUGGUUGAAUAAUUCUUUAGUCCAUUAGAAUCGUGCUAAAGUACAGUAUUUGGAUGGUGCUUGCGACGAACGGUGAAAAACGGCGAUCAAAUUUGCGAAAUAUGCUGAAGCCUGAAAUCGUGUUCUGGCGGGGCGGAGUGUGUCUGUGAAUAGGAGAGCUAAACAAAAGACUAAAAGAAACUUACCCAGCGACAAACCUCUUUCAGCCACGUCGUCGUCUUGAAGAUGUUUAUUUCCCCUCAAGCAUUCAAUUAUUAAACGACAAAGCAGUCAAGCCCGAAAUAUUCGUCAAG